rnacentral:rRNA from 1 species
CAGCCGCCGCGGGAACACGAAGGGUGCAAGCGUUAAUCGGAAUUACUGGGCGUAAAGCGCGCGUAGGUGGUUCAUUAAGUUGGAUGUGAAAGCCCUGGGCUCAACCUGGGAACUGCAUCCAAAACUGGUGAGCUAGAGUACGGUAGAGGGUAGUGGAAUUUCCUGUGUAGCGGUGAAAUGCGUAGAUAUAGGAAGGAACACCAGUGGCGAAGGCGACUACCUGGACUGAUACUGACACUGAGGUGCGAAAGCGUGGGGAGCAAACAGGAUUAGAUACCCCCGUAGUCCCUGUCUCUUAUAC